AGUGAACGCUGGCGGUAGGCCUAACACAUGCAAGUCGAACGGCAGCACAGGAGAGCUUGCUCUCUGGGUGGCGAGUGGCGGACGGGUGAGGAAUACAUCGGAAUCUACUUUUUCGUGGGGGAUAACGUAGGGAAACUUACGCUAAUACCGCAUACGACCUACGGGUGAAAGCAGGGGAUCUUCGGACCUUGCGCGAUUGAAUGAGCCGAUGUCGGAUUAGCUAGUUGGCGGGGUAAAGGCCCACCAAGGCGACGAUCCGUAGCUGGUCUGAGAGGAUGAUCAGCCACACUGGAACUGGGACACGGUCCAGACUCCUACGGGAGGCAGCAGUGGGGAAUAUUGGGCAAUGGGCGCAAGCCUGAUCCAGCCAUACCGCGUGGGUGAAGAAGGCCUUCGGGUUGUAAAGCCCUCUUGUUGGGAAAGAAAUCCAGCUGGUUAAUACCCGGUUGGGAUGACGGUACCCAAAGAAUAAGCACCGGCUAACUUCGUGCCAGCCGCCGCCGUAA
rnacentral:rRNA from 1 species